AGCGAACGCUGGCGGCAGGCUUAACACAUGCAAGUCGAGCGGGCCCUUCGGGGUCAGCGGCAGACGGGUGAGUAACACGUGGGAACGUACCCUUUGGUUCGGAAUAACGCUGGGAAACUAGCGCUAAUACCGGAUACGCCCUUUUGGGGAAAGGCUUGCUGCCGAAGGAUCGGCCCGCGUCUGAUUAGCUAGUUGGUGGGGUAAUGGCCUACCAAGGCGACGAUCAGUAGCUGGUCUGAGAGGAUGAUCAGCCACACUGGGACUGAGACACGGCCCAGACUCCUACGGGAGGCAGCAGUGGGGAAUAUUGGACAAUGGGCGCAAGCCUGAUCCAGCCAUGCCGCGUGAGUGAUGAAGGCCUUAGGGUUGUAAAGCUCUUUUGUCCGGGACGAUAAUGACGGUACCGGAAGAAUAAGCCCCGGCUAACUUCGG
rnacentral:rRNA from 1 species